rnacentral:rRNA from 1 species
GAUUAACGCUAGCGGCAGGCCUAAUACAUGCAAGUUGUACGGGAUUAUUGGUAGCAAUACUGAUAUGAGAGUAGCGCACGGGUGCGUAACACGUAUGCAACCUACCUUUAACUGGGGAAUAGCCUUCCGAAAGGAAGAUUAAUACCGCAUAACAUUGCGAAACGACACCGUCUUGCAAUUAAACCUACGGGGGUUAGAGAUGGGCAUGCGUCCGAUUAGCUAGUUGGCGGGGUAAAGCCCACCAAGGCAACGAUCGGUAGGGGGUCUGAGAGGAUGAUCCCCCACACUGGUACUGAGACACGGACCAGACUCCUACGGGAGGCAGCAGUAAGGAAUAUUGGAACAAUGGGGGCAACCCUGAUCCAGCCAUGCCGCGUGAAGGAUGAAGGCCCUAGUGGGUCGUAAACUUCUUUUAANACGGGACAAAACCCCUCUACGUGUAGAGGGCUGAU